rnacentral:rRNA from 1 species
AAUCAACGCUGGCGGCGUGCCUCAGACAUGCAAGUCGAACGCGAAAUUUCCCUUCGGGGAGAAAGUAGAGUGGCGCACGGGUGAGUAACACGUAGGUAAUUUGCCUUUGGGUGGGGAAUAACUCAGGGAAACUUGAGCUAAUACCGCAUAAUGCAGCGGCUCGACAUCGAGACAGUUGUUAAAGCGGGGGAUUGGAGCAAUCCGACCUCGCGCCUAAAGAGAAGCCUGCGGCAGAUUAGCUAGUUGGUGAGGUAAUGGCUUACCAAGGCGACGAUCUGUAACCGGCCUGAGAGGGCGGUCGGUCACACUGACACUGACAUACGGGUCAGACUCCUACGGGAGGCAGCAGUCGGGAAUUUUGGGCAAUGGGCGCAAGCCUGACCCAGCAACGCCGCGUGAAGGAUG